UCUUGGUCUCCAUUGAGGAAGUAAAAGUCGUAACAAGGUCUCCGUAGGUGAACCUGCGGAGGGAUCAUUACACAAAUAUGAAGGCGGGCUGGAACCUCUCGGGGUUACAGCCUUGCUGAAUUAUUCACCCUUGUCUUUUGCGUACUUCUUGUUUCCUUGGUGGGUUCGCCCACCACUAGGACAAACAUAAACCUUUUGUAAUUGCAAUCAGCGUCAGUAACAAAUUAAUAAUUACAACUUUCAACAACGGAUCUCUUGGUUCUGGCAUCGAUGAAGAACGCAGCGAAAUGCGAUAAGUAGUGUGAAUUGCAGAAUUCAGUGAAUCAUCGAAUCUUUGAACGCACAUUGCGCCCUUUGGUAUUCCAAAGGGCAUGCCUGUUCGAGCGUCAUUUGUACCCUCAAGCUUUGCUUGGUGUUGGGCGUCUUGUCUCUAGCUUUGCUGGAGACUCGCCUUAAAGUAAUUGGCAGCCGGCCUACUGGUUUCGGAGCGCAGCACAAGUCGCACUCUCUAUCAGCAAAGGUCUAGCAUCCAUUAAGCCUUUUUUUCAACUUUUGACCUCGGAUCAGGUAGGGAUACCCGCUGAACUUAAGCAUAUCAAA
rnacentral:misc_RNA from 1 species